AGAGUUGACUCCUGGCUACAGGACGAACGCUGGCGGCGUGCUUAACACAUGCAAGUCGAACGAUGAAGCCCUGCUUGCAGGGUGGAUUAGUGGCGAACGGGUGAGUAACACGUGGGUGAUCUGCCCUGCACUUCGGGAUAAGCCUGGGAAACUGGGUCUAAUACCGGAUAUGACCCUCCUUAGUGUGGGGGUGGAAAGCUUUUGCGGUGUGGGAUGAGCCUGCGGCCUAUCAGCUUGUUGGUGGGGUAAUGGCCUACCAAGGCGUCGACGGGUAGCCGGCCUGAGAGGGUGAUCGGCCACAUUGGGACUGAGACACGGCCCAGACUCCUACGGGAGGCAGCAGUGGGGAAUAUUGCACAAUGGGCGAAAGCCUGAUGCAGCGACGCCGCGUGGGGGAUGAAGGCCUUCGGGUUGUAAACUCCUUUCGCCAGGGACGAAGCGUUAAAGUGACGGUACCUGGAGAAGAAGCACCGGCUAACUACGUG
rnacentral:rRNA from 1 species